rnacentral:rRNA from 1 species
CGUGGGGAGCUUACCAUGCAAGUCGAACGGUCUCUUCGGAGAUAGUGGCGGACGGGUGAGUAACGCGUGAGAAUCUAGCUUCAGGUCGGGGACAACCACUGGAAACGGUGGCUAAUACCGGAUGUGCCGAAAGGUGAAAGAUUUAUUGCCUGAAGAUGAGCUCGCGUCUGAUUAGCUAGUUGGUGUGGUAAGAGCGCACCAAGGCGACGAUCAGUAGCUGGUCUGAGAGGAUGAUCAGCCACACUGGGACUGAGACACGGCCCAGACUCCUACGGGAGGCAGCAGUGGGGAAUUUUCCGCAAUGGGCGAAAGCCUGACGGAGCAAUACCGCGUGAGGGAGGAAGGCUCUUGGGUUGUAAACCUCUUUUCUCAGGGAAUAAAAAAAUGAAGGUACCUGAGGAAUAAGCAUCGGCUAACUCCGUGCCAGCAGCCGCGGUAAUACGGAGGAUGCAAGCGUUAUCCGGAAUGAUUGGGCGUAAAGCGUCCGCAGGUGGCACUGUAAGUCUGCUGUUAAAGAGCAAGGCUCAACCUUGUAAAGGCAGUGGAAACUACAGAGCUAGAGUACGUUCGGGGCAGAGGGAAUUCCCUGGUGUAGCGGUGAAAUGCGUAGAUAAAUACCU